rnacentral:lncRNA from 1 species
GGUGUGAGCUGGGGGAAGACUGAAGGAAGAUGGGAAGUGAAGCAGGGAAGGAGAGAAAGAAACACAGGUUGGUGCAUGAUUGAGCUGGUCAUAGCUCAGAGCGAAGCACACCAGGUCACUCAGCCAUGCAACAUCUUCAGAGAAGCCAGGACUAGAAGAAGAAGAAAGAGGCAUCUCCUGGUGAUUUUCCAUCAUCUGUCUUUCACUGGUCCAAACUGACCCUACGGGCCUUAACUCCCCUGGAAGUGUGGUCCCUUCAGACAGCUUCUGGGAAGCCACAUCCCAGGGCACAGUGCUUUAUCUGGAUCUAGAAAGAGUGAGAUGAGCCAGAGCCUCUGCAUGGCUACUUGGGUUGGACCAGGACACCAGAGUUGCUGUGGUUCCAUGGAGGGUAAGACGCCAGGCCUAGGGGCAGACAUCACCCGGUGGGAGGUGGAGCCUGUAGCAGUUAGAAGAUGAGCUGGCAUGGGGCCUGGGCUCCCCUGAGCAAGUAAGUGAGGCUGGGGGUGUCACUGGGGGUGCAACCAGUGGAGCUAAGUCAACCCGGAGAGGUCUGUGAGUUAACUACAAGCUCCAGGGAGAGUUUGCAUCUGCGAACUCCUCUCAUCUCUGACGCAGUCCUGGGCUGUCAACAGGAUGUAAAAUCUGAAGCCCUGGAUUUCAGAUGUGGGAAGUCCGGUCUUCUCCAAGUGACCCAUCCAGGAUCACAGAUCAACCAAGGGUGGGUCUUCAGACUCUGAGCCCAGUGCUCUUUCCACUGUGCUACGUGGUUGCAAAACAUUCUCAGAUUUCCAUUUCUGGGACUGUGUUUGGUUUGGAGGCACCUGCUGAAAGACAGAGCAGCACGUCCCGAGUCUUGUUUCCUAUUUUCAGCGACUUCGGGGCAGUGGAGCAGCAGCAGAUCCAGCUUUCCCGGUUUCAGGACCUGCAAGCUGUCUCCAUACUCCUGCCCUCGGUGCCCUGUACUGUGGCCACUAGAUGGCGGUGUUGCAUAGGGUCUCCGUUGGCUCCAGUCCACAAGAGACUCCACUCAGCGAAACGCCCGACCUCCAUCCAGACUCCGACCUGCACCCAGCACGGCACGACCUUCCCCAGAGACCCGUGGGUGGACCUCACAUUCUCAGUGCCCAAAGAAUUCCUGCUCUAG